CAAUAGCGUAUAUUAAAGUUGUUGCGGUCAAAAAGCUCGUAGUUGGAUUUCUGUUGAGAGCGACCGGUCCAUACCAUGUAUGCGUAUCUGGCUUGCUCUCGGCAUCCUCUCGAUAGACGUUACUGCGCUUGAUUGCGUGGUGCGGAUCUCGGGACUUUUACUUUGAGGAAAUUAGAGUGUUCACGGCAGGCUUUCGCCAGAAUACAUUAGCAUGGAAUAAUACUAUAGGAUCUUGGUUCUAUUUUGUUGGUUUCUAGAAUUGAGAUAAUGAUUAAUAGGGACAAUUGGGGGCAUUCGUAUCAACACGUCAGAGGUGGAAUUCUUGGAUUGUGUUGCGACGAACUACUGCGAAAGCAUUUGCCAAGGAUGUUUUCAUUGA
rnacentral:rRNA from 1 species